UGGGGAAUCUUGCGCAAUGGGCGAAAGCCUGACGCAGCGACGCCGCGUGAGUGAUGAAGGCCUUCGGGUUGUAAAGCUCUGUGGAGAGGGACGAAUAAGGCGUGUCGAAUAGGCGCGCGGAUGACGGUACCUCUUUAGCAAGCACCGGCUAACUCUGUGCCAGCAGCCGCGGUAAGACAGAGGGUGCAAACGUUGUUCGGAAUUACUGGGCGUAAAGCGUGUGUAGGCGGCUAGUCAAGUCGGGUGUGAAAGCCCCGGGCUCAACCCGGGAAGUGCACUCGAUACUGGGUAGCUUGAGUCUUGGAGAGGUUGGUGGAAUUCUCGGUGUAGAGGUGAAAUUCGUAGAUAUCGAGAGGAACAUCGGUGGCGAAGGCGGCCAACUGGACAAAGACUGACGCUGAGACACGAAAGCGUGGGGAGCAAACA
rnacentral:rRNA from 1 species